rnacentral:rRNA from 2 species
CUGGAGGUAUCAGAAGUGCGAAUGCUGACAUAAGUAACGAUAAAGCGGGUGAAAAGCCCGCUCGCCGGAAGACCAAGGGUUCCUGUCCAACGUUAAUCGGGGCAGGGUGAGUCGACCCCUAAGGCGAGGCCGAAAGGCGUAGUCGAUGGGAAACGGGUUAAUAUUCCCGUACUUGGUGUUACUGCGAAGGGGGGACGGAGAAGGCUAUGUUGGCCGGGCGACGGUUGUCCCGGUUUAAGCGUGUAGGUGUGUGUUCCAGGUAAAUCCGGUUCACUUUAACACUGAGGCGUGAUGACGAGGCACUACGGUGCUGAAGCAACAAAUGCCCUGCUUCCAGGAAAAGCCUCUAAGCAUCAGGUAACAUCAAAUCGUACCCCAAACCGACACAGGUGGUCAGGUAGAGAAUACCAAGGCGCUUGAGAGAACUCGGGUGAAGGAACUAGGCAAAAUGGUGCCGUAACUUCGGGAGAAGGCACGCUGACAUGUAGGUGAAGUGAUUUACUCAUGGAGCUGAAGUCAGUCGAAGAUACCAGCUGGCUGCAACUGUUUAUUAAAAACACAGCACUGUGCAAACACGAAAGUGGACGUAUACGGUGUGACGCCUGCCCGGUGCCGGAAGGUUAAUUGAUGGGGUCAGCGCAAGCGAAGCUCCUGAUCGAAGCCCCGGUAAACGGCGGCCGUAACUAUAACGGUCCUAAGGUAGCGAAAUUCCUUGUCGGGUAAGUUCCGACCUGCACGAAUGGCGUAAUGAUGGCCAGGCUGUCUCCACCCGAGACUCAGUGAAAUUGAACUCGCUGUGAAGAUGCAGUGUACCCGCGGCAAGACGGAAAGACCCCGUGAACCUUUACUAUAGCUUGACACUGAACAUUGAGCCUUGAUGUGUAGGAUAGGUGGGAGGCUUUGAAGUGUGGACGCCAGUCUGCAUGGAGCCGACCUUGAAAUACCACCCUUUAAUGUUUGAUGUUCUAACGUGGACCCGUAAUCCGGGUUGCGGACAGUGUCUGGUGGGUAGUUUGACUGGGGCGGUCUCCUCCUAAAGAGUAACGGAGGAGCACGAAGGUUGGCUAAUCCUGGUCGGACAUCAGGAGGUUAGUGCAAUGGCAUAAGCCAGCUUGACUGCGAGCGUGACGGCGCGAGCAGGUGCGAAAGCAGGUCAUAGUGAUCCGGUGGUUCUGAAUGGAAGGGCCAUCGCUCAACGGAUAAAAGGUACUCCGGGGAUAACAGGCUGAUACCGCCCAAGAGUUCAUAUCGACGGCGGUGUUUGGCACCUCGAUGUCGGCUCAUCACAUCCUGGGGCUGAAGUAGGUCCCAAGGGUAUGGCUGUUCGCCAUUUAAAGUGGUACGCGAGCUGGGUUUAGAACGUCGUGAGACAGUUCGGUCCCUAUCUGCCGUGGGCGCUGGAGAACUGAGGGGGGCUGCUCCUAGUACGAGAGGACCGGAGUGGACGCAUCACUGGUGUUCGGGUUGUCAUGCCAAUGGCACUGCCCGGUAGCUAAAUGCGGAAGAGAUAAGUGCUGAAAGCAUCUAAGCACGAAACUUGCCCCGAGA